GCCCGUGUGGCGGAAUCGGUAGACGCAGCGGAUUCAAAAUCCGCCGCCGCAAGGCUUGCCGGUUCGAGUCCGGCCACGGGUA
rnacentral:tRNA from 2 species